rnacentral:rRNA from 1 species
UGGGGAAUAUUGGACAAUGGGCGAAAGCCUGAUCCAGCCAUGCCGCGUGUGUGAAGAAGGUCUUCGGAUUGUAAAGCACUUUAAGUUGGGAGGAAGGGCAUUAACCUAAUACGUUAGUGUUCUGACGUUACCGACAGAAUAAGCACCGGCUAACUCUGUGCCAGCAGCCGCGGUAAUACAGAGGGUGCAAGAGUUAAUCGGAAUUACUGGGCGUAAAGCGCGCGUAGGUGGUUUGUUAAGUUGGAUGUGAAAUCCCCGGGCUCAACCUGGGAACUGCAUUCAAAACUGACUGACUAGAGUAUGGUAGAGGGUGGUGGAAUUUCCUGUGUAGCGGUGAAAUGCGUAGAUAUAGGAAGGAACACCAGUGGCGAAGGCGACCACCUGGACUAAUACUGACACUGAGGUGCGAAAGCGUGGGGAGCAAACA